rnacentral:rRNA from 1 species
GACGAACGCUGGCGGCGUGCUUAACACAUGCAAGUCGAACGGGUCUGCCCUGUUUUUUGCGGGGUGGGUCAGUGGCGAACGGGUGAGUAACACGUGAGUAACCUGCCCCUCACUUCUGGAUAACCGCUUGAAAGGGUGGCUAAUACGGGGUGUUCUGGCUGUGCCGCAUGGUGUGGCUGGGAAAGAUUCACUUUUGUGGUGUUUUGGUGGGGGAUGGGCUCGCGGCCUAUCAGCUUGUUGGUGGGGUGAUGGCCUGCCAAGGCUUUGACGGGUAGCCGGCCUGGGAGGGUAGGCGGUCACACUGGGUCUGAGGUACGGCCCGGACUCCGGCGGGAGGCAGCAGUGGGGGGUAUUGCACAAUGGGCAGGAGCCUGAUGCAGCGACGUCGCGUGAGGGAUGGAGGCCUGCGGGUUGUGAACCUCUUUCGCCGGUGAAGAAGGUCCUGCUCUUUGUGGUGGGGUUGACGGUAGCCGGGUAAUGAAGCGCCGGCUAACUACGUG